rnacentral:rRNA from 1 species
CCUACGGGUGGCAGCAGUGGGGAAUAUUGGACAAUGGGCGAAAGCCUGAUCCAGCCAUGCCGCGUGUGUGAAGAAGGCCUUCGGGUUGUAAAGCACUUUCAGUGGGGAAGAAAGCCUUGGGGCUAAUACCCUCGAGGAAGGACAUCACCCACAGAAGAAGCACCGGCUAACUCCGUGCCAGCAGCCGCGGUAAUACGGGGGGUGCGAGCGUUAAUCGGAAUUACUGGGCGUAAAGCGCGCGUAGGCGGUCUGAUAAGCCGGUUGUGAAAGCCCCGGGCUCAACCUGGGAACGGCAUCCGGAACUGUCAGGCUAGAGUGCAGGAGAGGAAGGUAGAAUUCCCGGUGUAGCGGUGAAAUGCGUAGAGAUCGGGAGGAAUACCAGUGGCGAAGGCGGCCUUCUGGACUGACACUGACGCUGAGGUGCGAAAGCGUGGGUAGCAAACAGGAUUAGAUACCGAGUAGUC